rnacentral:RNase_MRP_RNA from 15 species
UGGGGGAAAGUCCCCGGGCGCCAGGGCAGCGAGUGCCAGCCGGGAACGGCAUAACCCCCGCUUUUGCGCCGCAGUCACGUCCGGGCAACCGGAUGCCGGCCACGAUGGCGCCAUGAGUUCGCUCAUGCGCCGGAGCCUGGUUGCGCGCGUGGCGGGCUUCAUAGCCGAAGCAAAGUCAUGCAAACAGCGCAGGAUGUGCGGGCUUCGUGCCAUGCACGCCUGCGUGAACUGAACGGGGCUUACUCUCGUC